UACGGAGGAUGCGAGCGUUAUCCGGAUUUAAUGGGUUUAAAGGGUGCGUAGGCGGACUGUCAAGUCAGCGGUAAAAUUGAGAGGCUCAACCUCUUCCCGCCGUUGAAACUGGUGGUCUUGAGUGGAUGAGAAGUACGCGGAAUGCGUGGUGUAGCGGUGAAAUGCAUAGAUAUCACGCAGAACUCCGAUUGCGAAGGCAGCGUACCGGCAUCCAACUGACGCUGAGGCACGAAAGCGUGGGUAGCAAAUAGG
rnacentral:rRNA from 1 species